rnacentral:lncRNA from 1 species
UUGGAACCCCGACAUCCUCAGCACCCUGUGAGGUGCCCACUCUUGUUGGGGUCCUCAUAUUCCCUAAUUUUUACCCCCUCUUCUGAGAGGGCACCCCAGGUCAAGCCAUGUCCUCCCAUUCUAGGCUCCAGCGUUGGAUGCAUGCUCUAAGGUAGACCUUAGCCCACCUCCAUCACAUCCCGGAUCUCAGCCAGCAACAAGGGGGAAUCAAGCAGGCAGGGUGCCAGCAACCAGGAGAGGGAAGGGGUGGUGUCCUCUCUCUGCAGGGUGGGGCAUCCCCCUCCCCACACAGCCCAAGGCUGAAGUCAGGCCAGUGGGAGGAGCUGUC